rnacentral:tRNA from 1 species
AAGGGAGACCUAAUUCGGGUAUAAGACGAAAAAAAAGUAGUCCCUACCAAGAAUCAAUCCCAAAAGGUCGGAACGAGGUAUGAGGCUUUCAAACUAGGUUCUGGGUUCAUAAAAGACCUGAAUCAGGAACAAGGGCUAUUAGCUCAGGUGGUUAGAGCGCACCCCUGAUAAGGGUGAGGUCCCUGGUUCGAGUCCAGGAUGGCCCACCUGCACAGGUGGCAAAAACAAGAGAAGCGAGGAAUCAGCACCUUAUCUUAUAUACAUAUAUAAGAGAGAAUGCUGGCUCUGAGUACAGAGUCCAGAGGAACCUUGAAAACUGCAUAGAGCUAGGUGAAAAAGCCAAAAAAGAAGACCGCAAGGUCAAGCUAAUAAGGGCUAACGGUGGAUACCUAGGCAC